GACUGUCAACUUUUUGUUUUACAGAAAAUCACGGUGUUUUCUACAGAAAGUCUCCAGAUUUGUCGCUAGUCGCUCUGGUGGAAAAAAAUCGCUAAGUUGGCUACAUUGCCCACACGCA